rnacentral:rRNA from 1 species
AGUGAACGCUGGCGGUAGGCCUAACACAUGCAAGUCGAACGGCAGCACAGUAAGAGCUUGCUCUUACGGGUGGCGAGUGGCGGACGGGUGAGGAAUACAUCGGAAUCUACUUUUUCGUGGGGGAUAACGUAGGGAAACUUACGCUAAUACCGCAUACGACCUACGGGUGAAGGCAGGGGAUCUUCGGACCUUGCGCGAUUGAAUGAGCCGAUGUCGGAUUAGCUGGUUGGCGGGGUAAAGGCCCACCAAGGCGACGAUCCGUAGCUGGUCUGAGAGGAUGAUCAGCCACACUGGAACUGAGACACGGUCCAGACUCCUACGGGAGGCAGCAGUGGGGAAUAUUGGACAAUGGGCGCAAGCCUGAUCCAGCCAUACCGCGUGGGUGAAGAAGGCCUUCGGGUUGUAAAGCCCUUUUGUUGGGAAAGAAAAGCAGCAGGUUAAUACCCCGCUGUUCUGACGGUACCCAAAGAAUAAGCACCGGCUAACUUCGUG